rnacentral:rRNA from 1 species
CGAACGUUAGCGGCGCGCUUAACACAUGCAAGUCGCACGAGAAAGGGCUUCGGCCCGGUAAAGUGGCGCACGGGUGCGUAACACGUGGAUAAUCUUCCCUCAGGCGGGGGAUAACGUUUCGAAAGAGACGCUAAUACCGCAUGAGACCACGGUGACUUCGGUCGCUGCGGUCAAAGCUGGCCUCUUCAUGAAAGCCAGCACCUGAGGACGAGUCUGCGGCCCAUCAGCUAGUUGGCAGUGUAAAAGACUACCAAGGCGAAGACGGGUAGCUGGUCUGAGAGGAUGAUCAGCCACACUGGCACUGAAACACGGGCCAGACUCCUACGGGAGGCAGCAGUGGGGAAUAUUGGACAAUGGGCGCAAGCCUGAUCCAGCGACGCCGCGUGAGUGAUGAAGGCCUUCGGGUUGUAAAGCUCUGUUGAGAGGGAAGAAAACGUCCGGCGCGAAUAGCUCCGGACCUUGACGGUACCUCUUUAGAAAGCACCGGCUAACUCUGUG